rnacentral:lncRNA from 1 species
AUUUUCCCUUAUAAGCUGGGUUCCUCUUCGUUGGCCUCUUCCACUCACCACAACCAGGGGCUGUUUCACACUUUGGGUUUUCAAUUUUGGGAGCUUCCCAUUCACCAUCCUCCUCAUCAUCCCAAUCUUCAGGUUUUGUUGCCUCCGGGUCAUCUAUUUCCUCUGGCUCGUCGUCCAGCCAUCCUUCAGGUUUCUCAGCUUCUUCAUCGAUAAUUUCCAUGGGUGCAUCCUCAUCCCAGUCCUCUGGCUUUACAGCUUCUGGGUCAGGAAUCUUGGCUCUCUCGUCCCAGUCUUCGGGUUUGUUAUCAUCAGGAUCAGGGAUUGUCUUGGAAGGGAUAAGAGAAGGCUCAAAAUCCUCCUCGGAUAGGAAGUUAGCCUUUUUCUUCUCCUCGCCGUCAACUAGAAUUCUCAACUCAUUAUCAGGCUUUAGAAUGGCAGUGUACACAUGAGAUAGUUUGUCA